AGUGUGUAAGACGCGGCCGGGCGCGCGAAAUAUCGGGCGGCCAGGCUCUCUGAGGAGGCUGCCACAGUGAAGCAACCGUGACAAGUGGUGCCCGACCAGGGACCUGAACGAGGAAGGUCUGCCAGAGCAGAGAAAGUGAAACUGAUCAGACGAACUACGAACCCCUGGACGGGAGAGUCCGCCGGCGGAGAAUAUAAGGUCAGUUCCCUGAGAAGGUAUUGGGAGCGGGAGGUUUCUGAAUCAGGGUAACAUGGGGCAGAAUUUGUCUGUUGAGGAGCAACAUUAUGUGCAGCUGCUUAAAGUUUUACUUAAACAAUCUGGUGCUCAGGUUAGUUCUCAAACAUUAAGCUUCUACAGGAGGUUAUUACACAUAACCCAUGGUUUCUGCAGACAGGUACCCUUGCUGUGGAAAAUUGCAACUGAGUAGGAGAAGGAUUGAAACGAGCUCAUCAGAAAACUCUUAAAGUGGAUCCUUCUGUUUUCUCUGCUUGGGGUUUGGUCUGUACUGUCCUGCUGCCGUUGUCCUCUUCUUAUUCUGCCGGACAGCAGGUGCUAUGUUCUGAAUCUCAAAAAUUGAAAGAAUCUUUUGUCUCACCAGCAGCACCCAUUGAAAAUG
rnacentral:sRNA from 1 species